GGAGGAAGUGGUAAAAUGCUUUGAUCUCUCGAUGACCACCUGUGGCGAAGGCGGUCUACCAGAACACGUCCGACGGUGAGGGAUGAAAGCUGGGGGAGCAAACCGGAUUAGAUACCCGGGUAGUCCCAGCUGUAAACUAUGCAAACUCAGUGAUGCAUUGGCUUGUGGCCAAUGCAGUAUUGCAGGGAAGCCGUUAAGUUUGCCGCCUGGGAAGUACGUACGCAAGUAUGAAACUUAAAGGAAUUGGCGGGGGAGCACCACAAGGGGUGAAGCCUGCGGUUCAAUUGGAGUCAACGCCAGAAAUCUUACCCGGAGAGACAGCAGAAUGAAGGUCAAGCUGAAGACUUUACCAGACAAGCUGAGAGGUGGUGCAUGGCCGUCGCCAGCUCGUGCCGUGAGAUGUCCUGUUAAGUCAGGUAACGAGCGAGAUCCCUGCCUCUAGUUGCCACCAUUACUCUUAGGAGUAGUGGGGCGAAUUAGCGGGACCGCCGCAGUUAAUGCGGAGGAAGGAAGGGGCCACGGCAGGUCAGUAUGCCCCGAAACUCUGGGGCCACACGCGGGCUGCAAUGGUAAUGACAAUGGGUUCCGAAUCCGAAAGGAGGAGGUAAUCCCCAAACAUUACCACAGUUAUGACUGAGGGCUGCAACUCGCCCUCACGAAUAUGGAAUCCCUAGUAACUGCGUGUCAUUAUCGCGCGGUG
rnacentral:rRNA from 1 species